GCCCGCCACCGUUUCUGCGGUCGUAGUCCUGAGUCGGACACAUCCGCUCUGCCAUAAAACCACUACCGCACACGGAUUUAUGUCCCUGUGUUUGAUGCUGGAGAAGAUGGGCUAAACAAGAGAAGAAGAAAAAAGCACAAAGGAAGAAAGGACGCAGGAAGGAGACAUAAAUGAAGAAAGAAGAUGCCCAAUAUACGCCAGAUUAAGAAGAGGGAAAAGAAGACGAUGAAAUGGAGCAAAGAAGCAAUGGGGCAGGCCAUGCAGGAGGUGCAGGCAGGCAGGCAAUUGUUAAGGCAGGCGGCCCGUCAAUUUGGAGUUCCAAAGUCGAGUCUGGCGGACCGACUCAGUGGACCUGUGGCCGCUGACUGCAGCCCAGGCCAACCUCAGCUUCUUGCCCCUGAAGAUGAGAGUUCCCUGGUGGAGUAUUGCUUGUACUCUGCCAGUCACGGGUGUCCUCAAAGAAAGUAUCAGGUGUUGGACAAAGCUCUGGCCAUUUAUAAUUAUCGUAAUCCGCACAAACCCAGGACUGUUCUCGGCCAAACCUGGUGGAUUAAUUUCAGGGAGCGGCACCACCAUCGCCUUACCUCCCACAUCCCAUCCAUUAAUGACCACGGUAAGAAAUCAAGCACAAGGAGGGGUUCACUCCGGGGGUAACCUUUUCCAGGUUACCCCCGCACGAGUGUCCGCCUUCCUCUCCAUCUUCCAAUCCCUACCUCACCCAUCCACUGGUAGCAUCAGGUCGCAUAACUGUGGAACUGGCCCGUGUCCCGUCCAAAACCAGCCAAACCUGUGAGAUCUCAAACGCCAGGAAAAAUGCCUAUGUGCUGAUGGCUCAGGAAAUGUCCGAUGUCAUCAAGAAGGUGGGGUCAGUGCAGCAAGAAUGGAGCGACAGGGGCCAGAAGACGCUGACCUGGUAGUCUCUUCCUCUACCUUAUCGGGUGGCUCUGGCCGCAACAGAAGCCUGUCCUUAGUGACCCAGCCGGCCACCAGGUUUAGUGCUGCUGGUCCCUCAGCCCUUUUUGUUCACACUUUGUCCCACAGCCCCUCAUUCAGCAGCACAACAACCAGCGUGAGCUUGUCUUCCAAUGACCGGCAUCAUACAAUUGGAGACGCUCUCAACCCUUGGCAGACCUCCUCUAUGCCUCCAGCUCCCCUGUCUUCGCUUGGCUCCUCCUCCUCCACUGCUGAACCCACAACAUCCACUGCUGCAAAGAAGAAAAAAUGGGAAAAGAAGAUUUUGCGAUGUGGACGGUGCAGACAGCCCUAUCCUCCAAAGGACCCAGAAGGAUUGGUUCAUUGGUUCUGUGGGUUCAAUGUGACAACUGCCACAAAAUGUUUCACACCAUUUGUGUGAGCUCGGAGAUGGACUUCGAUGUCAAUGAAUUUUUGUGUUUUUGGUGCCUUGAUGUUUGAUUUUGUUGUAAUUUCUCAUGGCUCAUGAUGCAUUCAAUUCUAGUUUGACUUCAUUUACAAGUCACAAUUUUACAACAUUGUGUCAAAUGUUAGAGACUUUUAAGACUGCUGCAAAAUAAUUUUUUUGUCUUGACAAAUUGUAGUCAGAUUUGUAUACUGCAUUAUGUGUGCAAAUGCAUGUUUUGCAGAAUACACAGUUCGAAAUUUGAUUUUGAUUUGAUUUUACACCCAGCAGGUGUUGGUAUGCACUGAAAAUGGGAAAAAUGUAGAGCCUUUACAUAAUCUGUAAUGUAUUUCUAAACAGGAGAAAAGGCAUAAUUUGACAUCCAUUUGAUGGAAAAGACCACAUGGGGGCAGUAGUUUACCAACAAGGUAGUCUUCAUGAAUAAGAGACAUGACCAAAUGUAUUUGCACUUGCAGAUUUUAUGAUGGUUAUGAGGCUUUCUACAAAAACUCUUUGUGACUCCAAAAUAUAUUUUUAAGCUCAGAGAUGGACUUGGAGAAACAUAAAUGUUGGCGUUUUUGAUGCCUUGAACUUUG